rnacentral:misc_RNA from 1 species
GAUGAAGAACGUAGCGAAAUGCGAUACGUAGUGUGAAUUGCAGAAUUCAGUGAAUCAUCGAAUCUUUGAACGCAUCUUGCGCUCCUUGGUAUUCUGAGGAGCAUGCCUGUUUGAGUGUCAUUAAAUUCUCAACUACACUGACUUUGAAUUGGUGUGGCUUGGAUUUGGGGGGAGAAUUGUUGUGGGCUUUUUGUAUAGUCUGCUCCCCUGAAAUUGAUUAGCGGUACCUUUGUGGAACUGUCUACAGGUGUGAUAAUUAUCUACAUCUUAGACAUCUGCUGGAAUGCUGCUUUCUAAACCUUACUUGUAUUGACAAUCUUGACCUCAAAUCAGGUAGGACUACCCGCUGAACUUAAGCAUAUCAAUAAGCGGAGGA